UCGAAAGAAAACUUGAGAGGAAAGGUAAAUCGCCGGAGUCCUCGUCGGAGAAUCACCAACGAAAUUCAUCCACUACCGAGACUUACACUCUAGAGUUUCUACUUGGAGAGAAGAAAGACUCGUGUUGUUGAGGUUCCUUCUUUCGUCAAGACACGAGAAAUUCGCAAGGGAAGAUUUUGUGAGGAAAUCGAACAAAACGUCGAGAUCUGAAAAUGUUUCCAAGAACGGUAAGGAUGUUAUCGGACCUCUUUCCGACGCUCAUAACUCGUCGUAUGAUUAAGUAAAAAUCAAGAAAAAAAAUAUUGGCACGUAGGUUGUAGUAUGAUCUAAGACUUUGUUGAAGAAGUCAUUACGGUUUAGAUUAAGAAUCGAGAGAUAGAAAAAUGAGAAAAACAUCGGAAACCUUGUUUUUCUGCUAGUAGGAGAGAGAAGUCGACGGCACGCCACGACACCAGCAAGAGGACCGCAUGCGCCAACAACCACCGGACAUGCAUUGAACGCCGCUUGGGAAGACUUGGCUCCAGCCUUCUAACGACACGCAUCCCCAGCCACACAACCCGACCUGCAGUCCACCCGAACCGAACUGAUGACCCGUAGCUGCAGAAAAUUGUGUGCACGUGACACUCACGCGUGGAACCUGCAAGUGACCUUGUCCCGGCACGUGGAAACGCGUGUAAGCCUGUUUUCAUCCCGUUCGACUUCUAUUUUCCCUAUUUUCCUCCUGAAUCCAAUCCUAACUGAAAUAGGAUCUAAUUGAGGAAAAAUCACUACUUUUCGAUAUGCUAAUUGUGUAGAAAUGCUGCGUAACGGCACGUAUCAUCCAGGUAAGUCACCACCUGAAACUUUAGGGAGAAAUACUUGUAGGAGUUGCUUGGAAUGCAUGCAUGCUAGUUUAAUUAUCUUAGGUGGUAGCCUCACGUGAUUGAAUGUAGGUAUUUGAUUGUUAAGAGCAAGGAUCUAUUAUGUGAAAUAAUAUGAGAAUUAUCUGAGUAUUGCUAUUAUGUUUUAAGCUUCCGCUUUAUAUGUAUAUGAAUAAUUCAUGCUGAAAGGAGUAUGGGAACUUGUGAACUCUGAUUGAUGGAUGUUAUCACCCCGUUGAGCAUGUAUGUGUAUUUUGCAUGAAUUUUGUAUGAUGAUGCUGAAUAAUAGUUGUGUGCACACUCAAUUAAUUUUCAUGACCCACAGGUAUGGUAAAGUCAGGAUUUGUGGUUAGAGCGACAAGUCACUAAGGUACGUGUGGCGUCGAGUCAAGAGAGGGCGCGUUGAACGAUGUGGGUUGUCACAAAGGAAGCAUGUCCCGGGUCGUCAGUCCAGUCUUAGUGAUUAGUACACUUUGUCCUUCAUGUUUUCUUUCCUUGUCUAUAACUAGUCACAUAUGUCCUCUUUGGAUUGAAAUGUUUUC